GCGAUCUCCAUCAGGGUAAUCAGCAGAAGUGGGAGCAGAUGUUGCAGAGCCUAUCAGUUCACUUCUCCUUCACAAUAUAACCAGACUCUACUCUUCUGUCGACACUGGAUCGUAAAAGCAUCUACCUGGACUGCCUUCCGUUUGUGUUCAUCUCUCUCCCGGAUUCGGCCUCACCAGACUCACCAACCAACCGGCCCCUCUCCCCUUCUGGACACAGUCACCUGGUUCAUCUCCUACCUUUUCCUCCGCCAUCCUCCGACCUGCUCCAGCUUCAGCCCUCACCUGCCGUCUCUGCAGACACACGUCCAUGCCACCUUCGAGUCUCUGUCACCCCGUUUCCUAGCGGCCAGCUGGGAACCAGUCCGAGCAGGCUCGGUUUGAGUUUUCUUGUUUAUAGUUCUGAUAGAGUAAUAAUUAUUGUAGUCUUUUGUUGUGGAGUUCUUGCUUGUAGUUGUAGUCAUUGUAGCCGUUGUUUACGGAGUUUCUAGCUUGUUUAAAAUAUCUAUUGUCGUAUUUGAGAAUCAGGUUUGUUGUGUGAGCUUUAAAGCUCUUUUGCUUCAUAGUUGUUUUUUGUACUUCUUCGAUCUUAGUGUAGCUCCUCUGAGUCUUGAGUUAUUCUUGUUUCUCAGUUUUGUUCUCCUGCCCAGGUAUUACCUGCUGUGGGUCAGCUAUAGCUUAAUUCUAGUCUUGUUUAAUCUGCCAGCCACUAGAGGCAUUGCAGAGUUUUAGUUGUAGUUGUUGUCUUGUCAUUCUGGUUAUGUCCGGUUUUGAGUUCAAUCGGGAUUUGUAGUUCUAUAAGCUUUUCUUGUUGGAAAUGAUUUAUUGCCGCAACUGCCUGACUUCCUCUCUUUCCUGCAUCUGAGCCUCAGAGAAAAGCCUAACAGCUGGAACCGAAUAUUCGGGGGUUGUGCCCCUGCCCCCUGCUGUAUCACGCGGACCUACCAAGCCUGAUGUCAUGCUUCACUUCGCCCAUUUCUCGACCAGCUUUGCCUGAAUUCUGUCUGAACCUUCAGUUCAUCAUCCACAGCCAACCUGGUCUUCUCUGGAUUCCAUUCUGAACAACCCCCACCUGGCCCCUGCACCUGCCAAGAUGCCAUUCCAACCAUGCGACAUGCCUCCUCUGCCCGCAUUCCUUCACCCUCUCUCCCUGGUCAGGCUGUCAGUUAAUUUGCUCCGCUCUCUCUCUCUGGGUCAUACUUUGAGUUUGUAUAUUUUUUCGUGCUGUUUGUUUGCUGUGUUGCGUUUACAGUUCAUAUUGUUCCUAUCAGAGGUUGUGUGUCUAAUCUAGUCUUGUUCACUUACCUAGCUUGGGGUUACCAAGACCUGGUAAGUUCCUGCCUUCAAUAAUAUCUGCUUUCGUAAGAUGAAAUCUGCCAGGGUUUGAAAUUUGGUCCUUGUCUUUGCUUGUGUAAUUUAGCCACCAGUCCAGUAGAUGUCUCCCUUGGGAAAGCUAACUCUGUUUUCCUGAUCACAUCAGUUCCCUGUAGCUCUAUUGCUUCCUGUGUAGAUUGUAUAAAUAUUUAUUGCAAAUGCAUUUCAUCUUUCUGUACACUGGUCUGCCAUGUCUCCAUUGUCCUGCACUUGAGUCUCUGAUCUGCUCCAUGAUACAGUUUGUUGCAAAUUUUACCACCACGGUUUUCAUGUUUUCUGCAAAUGUACAUCAGUUCCAUAUGUUGAUUAAGGGUGUCCUUGAUAACCAAUAUUUGGUAUUGGCCCUGGAACAAAAAAAAACUUUCUACGCCUUUGGUGGUGUAAAAAGUGCAUGUAACACUUGUAUCAUUUUAUACUCUUCAAAGUAAGACAUUAAAAAACAGCACUGCUUUGGUGUGUGUGUGUGUCUGUGCGCACGCACGUGUGUGUGUGUGUGUGUGUGUGUGUGUGUGUGUGUAUAUGUAUAU